GUACUGCUGAGGAGUCCCACAAUAGGAUGAAACGACCGUCCAGUGA
rnacentral:hammerhead_ribozyme from 1 species